AUCAGAAUGCCGCGGUGAAUACGUUCCCGGGUCUUGUACACACCGCCCGUCACACCAUGGGAGCCGGGAAUGCCCGAAGUCAGCGGCCUAACCGCAAGGGGGGAGCUGCCGAAGGCAGGCCUGGUGACUGGGGUGAAGUCGUAACAAGGUACC
rnacentral:rRNA from 1 species